rnacentral:rRNA from 1 species
GAGUUUGAUCUUGGCUCAGAUUGAACGCUGGCGGCAUGUCUUACACAUGCAAGUCGAACGGCAGCACGGGAGCUUGCUCCUGGUGGCGAGUGGCGAACGGGUGAGUAAUGCAUCGGAACGUAUCCUGGAGUGGGGGAUAACGUAGCGAAAGUUACGCUAAUACCGCAUAUUCUGUGAGCAGGAAAGCGGGGGACCUUCGGGCCUCGCGCUCUUGGAGCGGCCGAUGUCGGAUUAGCUAGUUGUGAGGUAAAGGCUCACCAAGGCGACGAUCCGUAGCAGGUCUGAGAGGAUGAUCUGCCACACUGGAACUGAGACACGGUCCAGACUCCUACGGGAGGCAGCAGUGGGGAAUUUUGGACAAUGGGGGCAACCCUGAUCCAGCCAUGCCGCGUGAGUGAAGAAGGCCUCGGUUGU